rnacentral:tRNA from 1 species
GCCCGGGUAGCUUAUUGGUAAAAGCGCAAAUUUGAAGCAUUUGAGAAAUGAGUUCGAUUCUCUUUCUAGGCA